rnacentral:rRNA from 1 species
CAGUAGCCGCGGUAAUACGAAGGGGGCUAGCGUUGUUCGGAUUUACUGGGCGUAAAGCGCACGUAGGCGGAUCGAUCAGUCAGGGGUGAAAUCCCAGAGCUCAACUCUGGAACUGCCUUUGAUACCGUCGAUCUGGAGUAUGGAAGAGGUGAGUGGAAUUCCGAGUGUAGAGGUGAAAUUCGUAGAUAUUCGGAGGAACACCAGUGGCGAAGGCGGCUCACUGGUCCAUUACUGACGCUGAGGUGCGAAAGCGUGGGGAGCAAACAGGAUUAGAUACCCCCGUAGUCCCUGUCUCUUAUAA